UGUGUUAAUGAGGAUAGGUUAUCACUGGUUAGCUGUCUAAUCAUUGGGAGUGACUAGUGUGCAGAGCUCGGCAACAUUAUGGAAUACUAAAUGAUAUCAAGUGAUUGUUUCUAGUCUUAAAUUUACUCUCUCCUCCUCCUCCUCCUCCUCCUCCUCCUCCUCCUCUCUGUCUAUCUUCAUCCCUUCCUUCCUUUUAAUGAAUAAGUUAUCUUUUGCUUAAUUAACAUUUAUAAUUCUUUAUGGUGGUCAAAUCUUGCAUCUCAUUUCCCUAUCGUCCAUUCUCUCUCCUCCUCCUCCUCCUCCUCCUCUCUAUAUAUAUAUCUUCAUCCCUUCCUUCCUUUUAAUUAAUGUCUAAGUUAUCCUUUGAGUGACGUUCUUUCUGGCGGUCAAAUCUUGCAUCCUAUUUCCUAUCAUCCAUUCUCUCUCUUCCUCCUCCUCCUCUGUCUAUCUUCAUCCCUUCUUUCCUUUUAAUUAAUGUCUAAGUUAUCUUUUGCUCAAGGUUCUUUCCAGUGUGUUUGUGGUGCCCGGCUCUGCUUGCUAGUUUGUUUUGUCACUGUAUAAUUGUCAAUCCUAGUUUUUGUCAUUGUAUAAUUGUCAAUCCUAGUUUUUGUCAUUGUAUAAUUGUCAAUCCUAGUUUUUGUCACUGUAUAAUUGUGAGUCCUAGUUUGUUUUGUCACUGUAUAAUUGUCAGUCCUAGUUUGUUUUGUCACUGUAUAAUUGUCAGUCCUAGUUUGUUUUGUCACUGUAUAAUUGUCAGUCCAAGUUUGUUUUGUCACUGUAUAAUGGUCGGUCCCAGCCAGGCGCCUCUUCCAUGUAAAGAUAUCGGCAGCUUCAAGCCUUGCCGAUAUCUCAAUCCGUACGUGAAUGUAAAUUAACCGAAAUCCUUGUUACUAAGCCCUGCACGGUGCUCUCUCACAUAAUGCUUCUUUAAAUUUUCAGUCUCACUUAAUUUCCGGGGUUAGUAAUAUAUUUUGCCAUAAGUUAACUCCCCGUGAUGGCCAGUUUCAUGUACUAUAUAUAAGUAAUUUGCCUUUUGCAUGGCUAUAAUUCUGCAUCUGUGUCUAAGGCCCAGUUUCACAGUUCCUCAUGAUGGGUUAGUAAGCUCCGAAACCAAUACCAGAGCCUUUGAAAUUUCCUUGUAUGGUGUCUGGAGUUUAUAUUCAAGUUCACAAAUUUGACGAGACUAUACAGGAAAGGUCUUGUGUGUUUAUGCUACGAAGGAAAGGGAGGAGAAGGGAGAUGAGAUUAGGAGACGAGUGAGCCGAGAUCCUGUUUAUAUUCAAGUUCACAAAUUUGACGAGACUAUACAGGAAAGGUCUUAUAUUGUCAUGAUACGAAGGAAAGGGAGGAGAAGGGAGAUGAGAUUGGGAGACGAGUGAGCCGAGAUCCUGUUUAUAUUCAAGUUCACAAGUUUGAUGAGACUAUACAGGAAAGUUCUUGUGUGUUUAUGGUACGUAGGAAAGGGAGGGGAAGGGAGAUGAGAUUGAGAGACGAGUGAGCCGAGAUCCUGUUUAUAUUCAAGUUCACAAGUUUGAUGAGACUAUACAGGAAAGUUCUUGUGUGUUUAUGGUACGUAGGAAAGGGAGGGGAAGGGAGAUGAGAUUGAGAGACGAGUGAGCUGAGAUGGUGUUUAUAUUCAAGUUUACAAAUUUGACAACACAAUACAGGAAAAGCUCUUUGUAUUUAGUGUGUCAUCGAAGACCGCGCCAUUUUGAACAGUAUGGGAUUCUAUAGCUUGGUUCGGGAGUGUUACAAAGACCAUGAUGGACUGUGGAAGCGGCCCUUAAUGUUCCCUUUUCUAAUAUGCCUCUCUGUUUUUCCAGGAUGCCGCGGACGGACCAUGCAGAGGACUCAUCGCGACGACACCAACGGUUUGGUUAAGUGGGUUCUCUUGUGUGUGCGUCUGUGUGUGAAUGGCAGGCCUGUCGUAUGAUUGUGUGUGUGUGUGCGUUGGCGGUAUGCCUUCGCACUAUUAUUUUGUUAGGAUGUAUUUUUUUGUGUGUGAACUUUUUGCACGUAAUCUUUUUUUAUACCCAUAGCUAGCGUUUGUUUGUGUGGCAGUGUUCCGGGAGAUGGACGCCGGGGGACAUGGGUUUGGGGAGGCGCACAUGACCUCCUCUGUCCGUGACCUCUUCAGCUGGGGAGACCGUGUGUUGCCCCGCCUGGAGAGACACGUUGAUGGAGGUGGCCGUGUGUGUCACCCUUUGCCUGUAUCCUCUGGCGCCCAGAGGCGCGUAAGCGGAGAGCAUCGGCGCAGCGCGGGAGCAGCACGUCAGGGUGUAGGGUGUUUGUUUAGCUGGUGUAGGGUGUUAGGGUGUUAGGGUGUUAGGUGUAACAACGGUUGGCUCUUUCACAGAACGGGUGUGAUUCCGUUCUGCGUUUGAGUCUUCCACCUUCAGACGGUCUCCCUCCGAGAUGUCUGAAGUUUUUUUUGUCGGUUUUCUCCGUAGGAGGAAGCCGACUCUAGCUACUCUGGCCUCUCUUCCGGGGGUCAGAGCGGUCGGGCUCUGCUUGGCCAGGCGUUAGUCUUUCGCGUUGUCUCCGCCGACGUUUUGCCAGACUCUUCCGUAAGGUUGAGCCUGGCUUUUUUAUUAGGUGGAUCAGGCUGCCUUCUUCCAAGGAGUCUGAUGGGAGUGGAGUCUUUUUUUUGGUGUAUGUCUGUGGGUACUUAGUG